GCAGUUAAAAAGCUCGUAGUCGGAUUUCAGUAUUAGGCCCUUCUUCCAAUACGGUUGCUAGUGGUCUUUACUUCCUUAACAGAAUCUUUCAUCUCAUUAAUUUGGGGUGUUUGGGGCCUGUUUCUUUUACUUUGAGAAAAUUAGAGUGUUCAAAGCGGGUUUUCGCCUGGAUAUUACUCUUGGAAUAAUAAUAUAGGACUUUGGUUCUUUUUUGUUGGUGACUUAGAACCGAAGUAAUGAUUGAUAGGGACAGUUGGGGUCAUUCGUACUAUGAAGCGAGAGGUGAAAUUCAUGGACCUUUGUAUGACGAACUACUGCGAAAGCAUUUGACUAGGAUGUUCCCGUUGAUCAAGAACGAAAGUUGGGGGAUCGAAGACGAUCAGAUACCGUCGU
rnacentral:rRNA from 1 species